AUUGAACGCUGGCGGCAGGCCUAACACAUGCAAGUCGAACGAGUGGCGGACUGGUGAGUCAUGUCUGGGAAACUGCCUGAUGGAGGGGGAUAACUACUGGAAACGGUAGCUAAUACCGCAUACCAUCGGAUGUGCCCAGAUGGGGUUAGCUAGUAGGUGGGGUAAAGGCUCACCUAGGCGACGAUCCCUAGCUGGUCUGAGAGGCUGAACAGCCACACUGGACCUGAGACACGGUCCAGACGCCUACGGGAGGAAGCAGUGGGGAAGAUUGCACAAUGGGCGCAAGCCUGAUGCAGCCAUGCCGCGGGGAUGAAGAAGGCCUUGGGUGUGUAAAGGACUUUCAGCGGGGAGGCGUUACCCGCAGAAGAAUCACCGGCUAACUCCGUGCCAGCAGCCGCGGUAAUUC
rnacentral:rRNA from 1 species